UGUGCAUGUAUGUAUCUAUCAAUAUUUCUUACGCCGGGACACUAUAGGUCUAGAUAUGACAGGCCUUUUAUUAUAACAUCGCCAAUCGCUGAUGAUUCGUAAACAAAUAUGACCCAGGCUAUUUAUCUCGACCGCUGCAGAUUGCAGCAAGAGUUGAAAGCACCACCAAUCUCAAUAUAACGAAAAUAUAUUGGGACGUACGGGCCUGUGGCUUUUCUACUCUUCUCUUGUUUUCUCCUCCUCCUUCUUCUUCUCUACCACCACAUGACGGAUAACUGACACGAGGAAAAGAAACCUCUCUCAUCACCCAUGCGCAUCCUGCAGGAGGCAGGUUGGCUGCUGCGUUGCCCAAUGUAAAAGAAAAAAGAAUUGAUUUGAUUUGAUUGGUAGCCUGGACGCCCACAGAUACAUUUUUCGGCAAAUGUAAGUCAAUCCCUUUGAAAAAUUUAGGCAAUCCAAUUUUUGAGCAGAGAAGAGGUUGUAGCAAUAUAUUUACUACUAGUAGUGUUGUUGGAUGCAAAUUUUAAGUUGCACCACCUCACAGGGGACGGAGC
rnacentral:sRNA from 1 species